AACACCUUGUUAUAGAGUGCAUACUUAUUAGAAUGACAAGGACUAUUUAUUGAAGCGUUCAGCUGAUGAACAAUAAAGAAACAUAAGGAUCAAAUCAUUCAGUUAUUAUGUUAACAUUACCCUUUCAGUUAUCAAUAAUAUUUCUUAAAAUCUUAAUAAAUGAAUAAUUAGUGAUAAAAUAACCUUCUAAUUUUUACAAAAAGAGUUCGGUAUUAGAUGUCCAAAAAAUCCAAUGCUUCUAAAGCCGUCGCCAAGAUUGGAAACAAACUAAAUGGUCAAGGAUAUGUUUUAAGCACUUCAAGAACUCUGAUAUCAUUAAGCACAAAGUUAAGUGCACACUUGUUAGUUGUUGAUGGAGCACUGUCCCUAUUUUCGACUUUUCAAUGCACUUAAAAAAGUGGAGUCCCAUCGAUGAAUCUUAAUGGGAAGAACUUAUGAAGAAGACAGUAGUAAAAAAUGAAUUCUGAUGACAUGAUUGAAAAAAGACCAACUGUAAAUAUAGUCAUUACUCAUA
rnacentral:lncRNA from 1 species